rnacentral:rRNA from 3 species
UACGGAGGGUGCAAGCGUUAUCCGGAUUCACUGGGUUUAAAGGGUGCGUAGGCGGGUAGGUAAGUCAGUGGUGAAAUCUCGGAGCUUAACUCCGAAACUGCCAUUGAUACUAUCUAUCUUGAAUAUUGUUGAGGUUUGCGGAAUAUGUCAUGUAGCGGUGAAAUGCAUAGAUAUGACAUAGAACACCUAUUGCGAAGGCAGCAGGCUAAACAUAUAUUGACGCUGAGGCACGAAAGCGUGGGGAUCAAACAGG